UACUAUAUAAACUACAAGCCGAUGAAGAAGAAAGUAAAACAAUAUGGGCAGCAGCUCCAACAGGGAGAGAAAGACCGUCGCCGUGUUCUCAAGGAUUUCUCAAAGAUGCUUGAUGAUCAGGUAGAAGAUAGCAACAGAGUGGGAAGGUUUGUGCAGAGAUCUUACCUCGAGGUUAUCACAGAUGCGCACAAUAUGACACCGAAUUGGCCAAAAAUAGGGAGCUACAAGAUGAACUUUUAAAGGUUAAGACCUCACUGUCUGCUUCAACGAAGAGAUUUGAAGAGUUGCAAAAGGUAAUUUUGGGGCAAAUUUCCAUUGCUGCAGGAUAAUGAGAUGUUGAAGCGGCAGACUGAAUCCAUGACACCGAAGUGCAAUUGCGGCAGAUUAUCUCUAUUUCUCCUUUUCAUUUUUCUUAUUAUUGGAGUGAGAACAGGUAGAAUGAGGAACUGUGUGAUAGUAGAUACAACAACCGUAGUAGAAAGAAACUUAUGUUUGCAA